rnacentral:lncRNA from 1 species
UUAGACACUAGAUCAUCUAUGCUCGUCUUAAUAACAGGAGUCUGCAGAUCUUCUUCAGCAAGCAGAUACGCAGGGGUUUCCUCCGUUCCAAGACCCUCCAACAUUUCAAGAUUGAUGCUACAUUGCAGGUAAUCAGCCCCUGCCAUUGCUAGAGCUUCAAUCGACAUAUCUUUUAUUUUCAGGACAAUAUAACCAAUUGAGGAUGCUACUAAUUCUUCAAACUAUGAAC